rnacentral:rRNA from 1 species
UACGGGGGGGGCAAGCGUUGUUCGGAAUUACUGGGCGUAAAGGGCGCGUAGGCGGUGCUCUAAGUCGGAUGUGAAAACUCUGGGCUCAACCCAGAGCCUGCAUCCGAAACUGGAGUGCUAGAGUUCUGGAGGGGGUAGCGGAAUUCCUGGUGUAGCGGUGAAAUGCGUAGAUAUCAGGAGGAACACCGGUGGCGAAGGCGGCUACCUGGACAGAAACUGACGCUGAGGCGCGAAGGCUAGGGGAGCAAACAGG